rnacentral:rRNA from 1 species
CCUACGGGAGGCAGCAGUGAGGAAUAUUGGUCAAUGGGCGAGAGCCUGAACCAGCCAAGUCGCGUGAGGGAGUACUGCCCUAUGGGUUGUAAACCUCUUUUGUCGGGGAGCAAAAGCCGGACGUGUCCGGCUGUGAGAGUACCCGAAGAAAAAGCAUCGGCUAACUCCGUGCCAGCAGCCGCGGUAAUACGGAGGAUGCGAGCGUUAUCCGGAUUUAUUGGGUUUAAAGGGUGCGCAGGCGGAUUUUUAAGUCAGCGGUAAAAUCGGGGGGCUCAACCCCAUCCAGCCGUUGAAACUGGGGAUCUAGAGUGUGCGAGAGGUAUGCGGAAUGCGUGGUGUAGCGGUGAAAUGCAUAGAUAUCACGCAGAACCCCGAUUGCGAAGGCAGCAUACCGGUGCACAACUGACGCUCAGGCACGAAAGCGUGGGUAUCGAACAGGAUUAGAUACCCCAGUAGUC